rnacentral:rRNA from 1 species
AACGAACGCUGGCGGCAUGCCUAACACAUGCAAGUCGAACGAGACCUUCGGGUCUAGUGGCGCACGGGUGCGUAACGCGUGGGAACCUGCCCUUAGGUUCGGAAUAACUCCCCGAAAGGGGUGCUAAUACCGGAUAAUGUCUUCGGACCAAAGAUUUAUCGCCUUUGGAUGGGGCCGCGUUGGAUUAGCUAGUUGGUAGGGUAAAAGCCUACCAAGGCGACGAUCCAUAGCUGGUCUGAGAGGAUGAUCAGCCACACUGGGACUGAGACACGGCCCAGACUCCUACGGGAGGCAGCAGUGGGGAAUAUUGGACGAUGGGCGAAAGCCUGAGCCAGCAAUGCCGCGUGAGUGAUGAAGGCCUUAGGGUAGUAAAGCUCUUUUACCCGGGAUGAUAAUGACAGUACCGGGAGAAUAAGCGCCGGCUAACUCCGUG